rnacentral:pre_miRNA from 1 species
CAUUCAGUGGGGGGUUCCCUCAGCCUGGAUUGUGAGAGGGCACAGGCCAGGCCGAGGGACCCCACCACUGCACA